CCUACGGGAGGCAGCAGUAGGGAAUCUUUCACAAUGGGCGGAAGCCUGAUGGAGCAACGCCGCGUGCAGGAUGAAGGCCUUCGGGUUGUAAACUGCUUUUAUAAGCGAGAAAUAUGAUGGUAACUUAUGAAUAAGGAUCGGCUAACUACGUGCCAGCAGCCGCGGUCAUACGUAGGAUCCGAGCAUUAUCCGGAGUGACUGGGUGUAAAGAGUUGCGUAGGUGGGAUAAUAAGUAGCGAGUGAAAUCUGGUGGCUCAACCAUUCAGACUAUUAGCUAAACUGUUAAGCUCGAGACCGUUAGGGGUAAGUGGAAUGUCUGGUGUAGGGGUGAAAUGCGUAGAUAUCAGAAGGAACACCAAUUGCGAAGGCAGGUGGCUGGGACGGUUCUGACGCUGAGGCACGAAAGCGUAGGGAGCAAACGGGAUUAGAUACCCCAGUAGUC
rnacentral:rRNA from 1 species